GUAAGGGGCAAGCGUUGUCCGGAAUCACUGGGCGUAAAGCGCACGUAGGCGGUUUAGCAAGUUAGGGGUGCAAGCUCCAGGCUUAACCUGGAAACUGCCUCUAAAACUACUUCACUUGAGUAUUAGAGGGGAAGCUGGAAUUCACGGUGUAGCGGUGAAAUGCGUAGAUAUCGUGGAGAACACCCGUGGCGAAGGCGGGCUUCUGGCUAAUAACUGACGCUGAGGUGCGAAAGCUAGGGGAGCGAACGGGAUUAGAUACCCCGGUAGUCCUAGCCGUAAACGAUGAGUACUAGGUGUGGGGGGGUAAAUCCUCCGUGCCGACGCCAACGCAUUAAGUACUCCGCCUGGGGACUACGGCCGCAAGGUUA
rnacentral:rRNA from 1 species